GCUGGUUCAAGUGGUUAGGGAGCUGGUGUGUUGGAGGUCUUGUGCUUGAAUCCCUGUGCGAGCGUGAGUAUUUUUUGCUUAUUUGUUUGAUAGAGUUUUAGUGGAGUUGAAAUUCUAAAGUGGUUAUGAGUUAGAGGCUUAGUGGGAGGAAAAGUAAGGAAGUUAUCAGAUUUCUGAUUCUGUCUAGUUUUUUGUAAUCUUUUUCCCAAAAAUUUGUUCCUAACGUUUUCCUCUUUUUCCCCUACCUUCCACUUUCGUUUUCUCUUUUUUAUUCUUCAGAUUUCUGUUAUUCUCUUGUUCGACUGUCGUUGCUUCAAUUUUUGGAUUCGUUAAUCGGCUUGCUCAAGAGCUUAAAGGAUCGAAGUUGGAUAAGGGGAAAGAAAAAGUAAUUGAAUAGCCGUUGAAGACGUUCGACAACAUCCGAGGUCUCUUGGACUCGUAUCGUUUGCGUGCUCGGAACCGUCGUUGAAGUCAUCACACCGGCUGAAAUCUUGUGGUAUUGUUUUCGUUGUUGAAGAACAUUUGGCAUGUAUAGGCUAUUAUAUUUUGUCGAAUUGUGGGUUGUAAACUUUAAGCCAUGUGAAAAUGGCCUAUGCGGUCGUCGAGUGGGAUGCUAGAACCUAUAGCCACGAGUCUUAGAAACUCUAAUUUUGAUAAGGUGGCCAUAAUUUGUGUCAUGUACGAUGGAUGAUUAAGGCCAAGGAAAGAUUCAUGAAAUUGGCAUAGUCUACUGCAGUAACUGUUGCGGACAGCAGCAGUGAGAUGAGAUUGAAAAA